rnacentral:lncRNA from 1 species
AUGUUGCAGCAGGAUAGUAAUGAUGACACUAAAGAUGUUUCACUGUUUGAUGCGGAAGAGGAGACGACUAAUAGACCAAGAAAAGUCAAAAUCAGACAUCCAGUAGCAUCGUUUUUCCACUUAUUCUUUCGAGUCAGUGCAAUCAUCGUCUGUCUUCUCUGUGAAUUGCUCAGCAGCAGCUUUAUUACCUGUAUGGUAACAAUUAUCUUGUUGUCAUGUGACUUUUGGGCAGUGAAGAAUAUCACAGGUAGACUAAUGGUUGGCCUACGUUGGUGGAAUCACGUUGAUGAAGAUGGAAAGAGCCACUGGGUGUUUGAAUCUAGAAAGGAGUCCUCUCAAGAGAAUGAAACUGUGUCAGAGGCUGAAUCAGGAAUCUUUUGGUUGGGACUUGUUGCCUGUCCAGUGCUGUGGGUGAUACUUGCCUUCAGUGCACGCUUCUCCUUCAGAGUAAAAAGUGGUUGGCGGUGGUUAUCGUGGGUGUGGUGCUACAAGGUGCCAACCUGUAUGGUUACCUCAGGUGUAAGGUGGGCAGCAGAAAGAAUUUAACCAGCAUGGCUACUUUAUAUUUUGGAAAGCAGUUUUUAAGACAAAACACUGGAGAUGAUCAGACUUCCUGAAGAGAG